rnacentral:lncRNA from 1 species
CGCACUCCAGCCUGGGCGACAGAGCGAGACUCCGUCUAAAAAAAAAAGAAAAAUCCCCCACAAAGUAUUAGAAGUCCUGGCUUCAGAGCAAAGAAACCUCCACCCCAGGAGAUCAGAACCAGCGCAGAUGGCCCAGCGGCCACCGGCCAGGCCUCAGAGAACGAUCACAGACAGAAAACUCACGCAGGUCAGCGGCCUCAGGGAGUUCACCACCAACCACUGAGCCGUUCUGUGCGCCAGACCCCGGCUGAGCACUCGGCGCAAGUAAUCGAUUUUCACUCAUGGGGUUCCUGUGGAGCGGGAUGGCAGCGAGGCUGCGGGCUCCUUUUCCCCAGUGAGUCGCGGAGGAGGACUGAAGGAGGGGCCUGGGUUCCGGGAGCACCAGCGGUGCAACCCCGGGGGAGGCCCUGGUCUACGGCGCGGGGAGCUCAGCCAGUGCGGCAGGCGUGAGGCUGGGCGGGAGGAGAGCUCUCCCGCUCCGCUGACUCACCUGGCGGCCUUGACACACAGAAACAGGCCCCAGCUGAAGGUGCGGCGGGCCGGCACCCUCCUCUCAGGCUGGGAGCUACGGGAAUCCUGGCUCCCCCCAGGCUCCUCUCCAUGAACCGAGUGGCAAAGCCUGCGGGAUGAGCAGUGUGGGGAGGUGUUUGUGGAGCCCGUCACCCUUCAGCCUCUGAAAGACUCACCGUCAGACCAAGGAGCUGAGACCCCAGGAGAACGCACCCUCGCGGAGCCUGAGUCCGCAGACGUCUCAGUACAACCGCCCCCAAAUGAAGACCUCAGAGGGCAGCCGACAGCUUGGGAACAGUGAGGGAAGGAGCAAGCAGCCCUCAGGCCCAGCACAGCAGCCACUCAGGGAGCACGGGGAGGGCCGGUGUAAGUUCCAAGCUGAAACGAGCAUUUUUAUAACAGCCCCGUGGCGUCGGCACCACCGCAUCCCAUUCCACAGAUAGACCCAGGCUGGAGAGGUGAGCAAGGCCACGUGGCUGGAAAUGGGGAGAUCAGGGUUUCACCCCAAGCCUGAGAGCCCAGGGCCGCGCUGCUGACUACUCUGUGUGCAUCUGGCAGCUGAACCUUCCUGUUCCCAUCACCGUGAGGCCGGAAGGGUCUCAGGACCUCCCCAGCCUCUCUUGGCAGAUCCUGCAGCUCCUGGACGGAAAAGAGGGGGAGCUCAUCACCUACAAACCUCACCAGAGCUCCCAGGAAACAGAAAAAGCCCACAUUCUUCCUGGUCACUCCACAGCACCCCCCCUUUCCUUCUGGGUCCCUUCCCUGCUCCAAACACCCCCAGCUCCCUGGAGACUCAGCCUGGACCACCGCAGACCAUAGAUGGGCAGACACCAGGGCCCGCCUUCAGGCGGAAUUGUGCCCAUCUGUGCUUCAGAGCCUUUCCCUGCACAAUGAAGACGUGGUCUGCACCUCACAUGGUGGCUGCCGUGAGGAUGAAGGACGAGGCUUGGGAAGCCAUCUGCACAGCUUCUGUCCACUGCAGAGGCCCAGAUUUUUGGAUGAGCACACACUCUUCAUACAUGUUAGAAGAUGUAAUGAUCCCAUUGACAAAAACAGAGUGAUAAGACACUUAAGAAUAAAUUCUGCAAGAAACGUAUGCACAACCUAUAUGAAGAGAACACAGACUGUCUGAAUGAAUGGAAGGUAUAUACUGUCCUUAGAGAGGAAGAUUUAACAUCAUAAAUAUUCUAUUCAUCUUUCCACCAGUUCAGACCUCAUCUCAGUUUAGUCUACAAAUUAAACACAACCCCGGUUAAAAUACCAACAGCAUUUUUCAUGGAUGAUCGUUAAUUCUAAAGUUCGCUUUUUAAGUUGGGUGCAAUGGCUGUCACUGGUAAUCACUGUACUUUGGGAGGCUGAGGCAGGAGGACCAUUUGCACUUAGGAGUUUGAAACCAG